rnacentral:rRNA from 1 species
AUUGAACGCUGGCGGCAGGCCUAACACAUGCAAGUCGAACGAGUGGCGGACGGGUGAGUAAUGACUGGGAAACUGCCUGAUGGAGGGGGAUAACUACUGGAAACGGUAGCUAAUACCGCAUACCAUCAGAUGUGCCAAGAUGGGAUUAGGUAGUUGGUGGGGUAAAGGCUCACCAAGGCGACGAUCCCUAGCUGGUCUGAGAGGAUGACCAGCCACACUGGAACUGAGACACGGUGCAGACUCCUACGGGAGGCAGCAGUGGGGAAUAUUGCACAAUGGGCGCAAGCCUGAUGCAGCCAUGCCGCGUGAAUGAAGCAGGCCUGCGGGUUGUAAAGUACUUUCAGCAGGGAGGCGUUACCUGCAGAAGAAGCACCGGCUAACUCCGUGCCAGCAGCCGCGGUAAUAC